GAGAAAGUACGCAAGAACUGCUAAUUCAUGCAACCACAUCUAACAAUGUGGCUUUUUCAA
rnacentral:tRNA from 1 species